rnacentral:rRNA from 1 species
AAUCGAACCCGGAGAUAGCUGGUUCUCCCCGAAAUAGCUUUAGGGCUAGCGUCGGAAUGAACCCAUGUGAAGGUAGAGCACUGAAUGUGUGAUGGCCCCAUCCCGGGGUACUGAAUACAAUCAAACUCCGAAUGUCAUGUGGGAUGUCCGGCAGUCAGACUGUGAGUGAUAAGGUCCAUGGUCGAGAGGGAAACAGCCCAGACCGCCAGUUAAGGUCCCAAAAUGCAGGCUAAGUGGAAAAGGAUGUGGGGAUGCCCAGACAACUAGGAGGUUGGCUCAGAAGCAGCCACCCUUUAAAGAGUGCGUAACAGCUCACUAGUCGAGUGACCCUGCGCCGAAAAUGUACCGGGGCUAAGCCUGAUACCGAAACUGCGGAAUCGAAUGAUUGGUAGGGGAGCGUUGUAUACGGGUGGAAGCCGUACCGUGAGGAGCGGUGGACUGUAUAGAAGUGAGAAUGCCGGUGUGAGUAGCGAGAUGUAGGUGAGAAUCCUACACACCGAAAGCCCAAGGAUUCCAGGGGAAGGUUCGUCCGCCCUGGGUAAGUCGGGACCUAACGCGAGGCCGAAAGGCGUAGUGGAUGGAAAGCAGGCGGAGAUUCCUGCACCCGUAUGUGGAGCGAUGGAGUGACGGAGACGGCUAAUGUGACCCUCUUAACGGAUUGAGGGCGAAGCGGGGUAGCGGUCGACCAGGCAAAUCCGGUCGGCGUAACGCGAAGACGUGACAGGGAAGCGAACGCUUCGGCAAGUAGCGAAGCACAUGAGGCCGGCUUCCAAGAAAAGCUUCUGGCAAUGCACAUGCGGCCCGUACCAAAACCGACACAGGUGGGCAGGUAGAGGAUACCAAGGUGAGCGAGAGAACUGUUGCCAAGGAACUCGGCAAAAUGGCUCCGUACGUUCGCAAGAAGGAGCGCUUAUGAAAAUAAGCCGCAGUGAAUAGGCCCAAGCGACUGUUUAACUAAAACACAGCUCUCUGCGAAGUCGCAAGACGAAGUAUAGGGGGUGACACCUGCCCGGUGCCGGAAGGUUAAGAGGAUCUGUCAAUCGCAAGAUGAAGCAGUGAGUUGAAGCCCCGGUGAACGGCGGCCGUAACUAUAACGGUCCUAAGGUAGCGAAAUUCCUUGUCAGGUAAGUUCUGACCCGCACGAAAGGUGUAACGAUUUGGGCGCUGUCUCGGCAGCAGGCUCGGUGAAAUCUUAGUACCUGUGAAAAUGCAGGUUACCCGCAACUAGACGGAAAGACCCCAUGGAGCUUUACUGUAGCCUGGUAUUGGAUUUUGGUCAGACAUGUACAGGAUAGGUGGGAGACUGUGAGACGUGCACGCCAGUGUACGAGGAGUCGCCGUUGGGAUACCACUCUUGUGUGAUCGGAGUUCUAACCUGGUGGCCUGAAGCGGCCACAGGGAGAGUGCCAGGUGGGCAGUUUGACUGGGGCGGUCGCCUCCCAAAGAGUAACGGAGGCGCCCAAAGGUACGCUCAGAUUGGAUGGAAACCAAUCGACGAGUGCAAAUGCAGAAGCGUGCUUGACUGUGAGAGCAACAACUCGAACAGGGACGAAAGUCGGGAUUAGUGAUCCGGCGGUGCCGAAUGGAAGGGCCGUCGCUCAACGGAUAAAAGCUACCCUGGGGAUAACAGGCUGAUCUCCCCCAAGAGUCCACAUCGACGGGGAGGUUUGGCACCUCGAUGUCGGCUCAUCGCAUCCUGGGGCUGAAGUAGGUCCCAAGGGUUGGGCUGUUCGCCCAUUAAAGCGGUACGCGAGCUGGGUUCAGAACGUCGUGAGACAGUUCGGUCCCUAUCUGUUGUGGGCGAAGGAGAUUUGAGGAGAGCUGCCCUUAGUACGAGAGGACCGGGGUGGACCUACCGCUGGUGCACCAGUUGUAUCGCCAGAUGCAUAGCUGGGUAGCUAAGUAGGGAAGGGAUAAGCGCUGAAAGCAUCUAAGCACGAAGCCUACUCCAAGAUGAGAUCUCCCAUUCGCAAGAAGUAAGACCCCUUGA